CCUACGGGGGGCUGCAGUGGGGAAUAUUGCACAAUGGGCGCAAGCCUGAUGCAGCCAUGCCGCGUGUGUGAAGAAGGCCUUCGGGUUGUAAAGCACUUUCAGCGGGGAGGAAGGCGGUGAGGUUAAUAACCUCAUCGAUUGACGUUACCCGCAGAAGAAGCACCGGCUAACUCCGUGCCAGCAGCCGCGGUAAUACGGAGGGUGCAAGCGUUAAUCGGAAUUACUGGGCGUAAAGCGCACGCAGGCGGUCUGUCAAGUCGGAUGUGAAAUCCCCGGGCUCAACCUGGGAACUGCAUUCGAAACUGGCAGGCUAGAGUCUUGUAGAGGGGGGUAGAAUUGCAGGUGUAGCGGUGAAAUGCGUAGAGAUCUGGAGGAAUACCGGUGGCGAAGGCGGCCCCCUGGACAAAGACUGACGCUCAGGUGCGAAAGCGUGGGGAGCAAACAGGAUUAGAUACCCUAGUAGUC
rnacentral:rRNA from 1 species